UGGGCAACUCUAAGGAGACUGCCGGUGACAAACCGGAGGAAGGUGGGAUGACGUCAAGUCAUCAUGGCCCUUACGGCCUGGGCUACACACGUGCUACAAUGGUACGGUACAAAGGGUUGCCAAGCCGCGAGGUGGAGCUAAUACCCAUAAAACCGAUCGUAGUCCGGAUCGCAGUCUGCAACUCGACUGCGUGAAGUCGGAAUCGCUAGUAAUCGUGAAUCAGAAUGUCACGGUGAAUACGUUCCCGGGCCUU
rnacentral:rRNA from 1 species